rnacentral:rRNA from 1 species
AACCUUCCCUCCACUCGGGGAUACCCCGUUGAAAGACGGCCUAAUACCCGAUGUUGUCCACAUAUGGCAUCUGACGUGGACCAAAGAUUCAUCGGUGGAGGAUGGGGAUGCGUCUGAUUAGCUUGUUGGUGCGGGUAACGGCCCACCAAGGCGACGAUCAGUAGGGGUUCUGAGAGGAAGGUCCCCCACAUUGGAACUGAGACACGGUCCAAACUCCUACGGGAGGCAGCAGUGAGGAAAUAUUUGGUCAAUGGAACGUAAGUUCUGAAACCAGCCAAAGUAGCGUGCAGGAAUGGACGGGCCCCUA